UGCUGAUGAUGACAAAUCCUAAGGCUUGUUUCUCAAAACAUUCGCAGUGGCCACCUAAGAGCUUUCGCCUUGCCGGGCUUGAGAGCUUGUGCUGCUCAAAUUUCCUUCCUUGGAUGUCUGAGGCU